rnacentral:rRNA from 1 species
CUACGGGGUGCACCAGUGAGGAAUAUUGCACAAUGGAGGAAACUCUGAUGCAGCCAUGCCGCGUGAGUGAAGAAGGCCUUAGGGUUGUAAAGCUCUUUCAAUGGUGAAGAUAAUGACGGUAGCCAUACAAGAAGCCCCGGCUAAAUUCGUGCCAGCAGCCGCGGUAAUACGAAUGGGGCAAGCGUUGUUCGGAAUCACUGGGCUUAAAGCGUGCGUAGGCGGAAAUGAAAGUCAGAAGUGAAAUCCCGGGGCUCAACCCCGGAACUGCUUUUGAAACUCCAUUUCUAGAAUCCGGUAGAGGUCAGGAGAAUUCCUAGUGUAGAGGUGAAAUUCGCAGAUAUUAGGAGGAAUACCAGUGGCGUAGGCGCCUGACUGGGCCGGUAUUGACGCUGAGGUACGAAAGCGUGGGGAGCAAACAGGAUUAGAUACCCGGGUAGUC